UACACAAACAUAGACACCAAUGUGAGUUGC
rnacentral:piRNA from 1 species